UUGGGUAUACCCAAUAAGAAGUGUCGCUAAAUGUGCUUAAAACACCUCAACUGGGUAUUUGCCGGUUAGUACCCAACAAAACUUGGACACGACGAUUUGUCCAAAAAAGUAUCUAAAAAAGUUGUUUCUAUGCACAGACCGUGUUUUGCAUUUCAAUUUUACUCUCGGAACUCUAAAUUCUAGAGAGUUCCGAAAAUCAACUUCCGGUAGUCAUGAUCGUAACGGCGUUUGUUUUCACGAAAAAAUAUAUGGCGACUAAGAAGUACACGAUGUCAACAAGAUUGUCUGAUUGACAAGAGCAAAGGUCAAACAGGAACUUCAGGUGUGAACAUUGCAGAAAACACAGAAGAAGAUGCCCCUCAGGAAUUGGACAGUUAAGGAAUAAAAUGGACAAAAGCAGAACUGAAGGAGAUGCAUGAAAUGAGGAAUAUUUUAAAGAAUGCCUGAAUACAACCACUACUCCUGGAAGACAAGAUAGCAAUAUUGCAAUAUAAAAGAGCAGGGUUAAUGGAGGUAUCAUACAGUAU